UUAUUUUCAUUAACAAGUUUCACCUACUAUUAAUUUAGUAUUUCAUUUCAGUGCUAGGUAGGCAACUAACAGACUACCAGACAAUCUAUUUCAAUAGAAACUUUGCUUUUCGGUUCAUACGAGUAUGUGCCCGUAUCAGUCGAGGAAAAUUUCCAAAUCACCCGAGACAAUAGUGCGAAUCUGAUCCGAAUCAGCCAUGGUUCGAAUAAGCCUGCAUUUCAACAUACAACAAUCAAAAUCUCAAUAUCUCACGGCCCUGAAGAAAGGUGAUCACUCUCUACAUCUUCGAAUGGUGCGUGUGAGAGCUAUGAAAAGUGUCUGUGCUGAGAGUCAGUCGUGAUAUUUUGCCAAUAACUGUUACUCAGAUAAUCUUUCCUUUGAUUUGAGUGAGCUUUAUACAGGAAUGGAGGGCAGUGAGGACUCGAGAAAUGUCAGUAAGGAGAGGGACACACCCCCUUCCCUGUUCACUCAUUCCGCUCGCCACAGUUACUCAUGAGAAUACAACGGUGUGAACACGAAAGGAACCUCAUACGUUGUAGAUACGCCAGUCAGUGAAGGAUAAACACGCAUGAGUGAUAGCAAUAAGAAAGAUUAGACUGGAAUGUAUAUUCAUAUGAAGUUACUCUAAUGGAGUGGACUGGAGAAGCUGCCCCUGCUGGGUCUCGCGUUUCUGCCUCUACAUCACUCCAGGGUCAGUUCUGUGUGGCAAGUCAAUUAAGGACUAACUAAUUAUCUAAGAUAUCACCUCAUGGCUGGGAUAGACUAUCAGGAGUGUUAGUCUCAAUGGAUAUGGAUGGUUAUUAUUACCUUCAAUAGGUGCAUGAAGUGUACAAGUAUCUACAAGGGACACUGAUGGAGAGGCACAUUUAAACUGUCCUUCAAGCACUAACCAACCAUCUCAUUGCUUGGAUAGACUAUGAAGAGUGCUGGUCACAAUGGAUAAGGAUGGCCAUUAUUACCUGCUCUAAGAAGGACACCGGCGAAGGGCAACAAAACUGCAAAAAAAAAAAAAAAAAAAAAACUCACUCAGGUGCUGGUCCCCAAACAAGAGUCGAAAGCAGUGGUCAGAAACUCUUGCAUUUGAGAGGUGAACAGAAUAGGGGUGAGAGAAAGAGAAAAGUCAUGUGCAGCGAAGGCCGCUGGAAAAAAGGAAGCAUGCAGUUGGCAAAAUCAGAAGCGGCCUUGUUCAAGAUGCUGCAAGAGUAAUAGGAAGUAUGAUGCUCGUACUCCAACCUUCGUGUCGAGUCCAAGACGCACUUGAAUGAUGAGGAACACCGACUGUUUUAUGUGACCGGUUUGUGUUAUGCCCUGCACACUCCAUCUCGCCUUUCACCUCCCCGCCUCCUCAUGGCGGGGCAGAUGAGCCUGAGGAGAAAAGCCGGGAUGAUGCGGUCACCAAGCUUUGCACCGCUCUAUGAGCAUGACGGCAAUUGUUUGUUCAAUAAAAUUUAGUCCUCGGGGAUACACUGUUAGUAGGUACGAAACUGGUUCAUUUAUACAUACAUACUUACAUACUCGUACAUACAUACAUACGUGCAUAGAGAUAGGUAGACAGAUAUUUAUUAACCACAAAUAUACAAACAAGACAAACAUUCAUACAUAUGAUGAACUAUAUAUGCGUGUGUUGUUUUGUAACCCUUUAAGUAAUUUAGAUUUUAUGAUUCUUUUAUUCUUUUCCCCUUUUUUUGAUACUUUUUAUUAUUAAUCUGAAAUCCGGGGCCAUAAUACUCUAACUGGUGUGGCACCAAGAAAUUUUCAGUCAAUUCAGUCACUGCACGUUGUGUGUGUGUGUGUGUGUGUGUGUGUGUGUGUGUGUGUGUUUGUGUGUGUGUGUGUGUGUGUUUCUAUUUUUCAAGAGUAGAGUUUAUAACUGGAGUUCCUUUGAGGUUUCUCGUGGUUUCCCUCGAUCACUAUUCCCUUAACUGCACGCUUAUUUGAGGAAAACCCCGAUUCUUCCAUAAAGACCUUAAUUCUCUUCUUCCUUGGGGAUAGUCUGCUGCGAGUGUUGUAGUGUUGCCUGACGGAUGACCUCGGUUGAUGAGUGGAAUAAAAGUGAAAUCUUGAUUGAACUUGGAGUAACUCAAUUGUAGUGUUAUUAAGUGGAUAUCCGAGGAAGGGGAUGGAGAAGUUGUCUGUCCACCAUUUCUCUAGUUAUCAGUCAUGACUCUGUAUAUGACGCGCCGGUUCUGACUUGUUCCAUUGCACUGUUGAGGUGGCGCCUGCAGGAGAGAGUCAGGCCAGCAGCGGAGGAGGAAAACCAACCUUUAUAAUGUUUAUUUAUUCAAUAACAUUUCCCCGGUUGCCUAGUCGGUGAGUCGUGCGCGCCUUAAGCUUCUCUGUCCCGUUAGCGCCGCCUCGAAUGCAACGUCCACUGCAGCCCUGCCCUUUGUCCUGCAGUGUGGCCAGUGCAGCGCCGCGCCUCCCUCACACCCGCCACAAAGGAACAUGCGGCAUAAUAGACACCAUAAGAUUGAUCAUCAGCCUCUGCGGUAAUACAGACAGAGGAGGGCGUAAAGCCACAGAGCCCAGCGGCGACCCGAAAAGUGGGACUGUGCGUGCGCUGGGACGAAUAUACAGGGCAGGUAAAGAUUUUUAUGUUGGAAUUAUCCGCGUUUGAAGCGCCUUCUUUCUUUCUGGAAAACCUUUGGACGUAAGAUUGUUUUGCCUCACACGCACGCACGCACGCAAACAUGUAAUUGGAAGAAGAGGGAACGAAAAUAACAAGGAAAGUCUGAGGCGCCGCUUGUCUGACACGCACCACCAGGUCUCAUGAAAGCAACUGUCUCACGUUAUUAUUAGUGAGUGUGUAAUUGUGGCUCGCAUUCCUACAGCCCGCCUUCCACUCCUCCACUUUCCGCAGUCUUCUCACCGCCGCGUCCUUCUUCUAAUAUAUGUUUUCUAGGAAAGCGUACGUCAGGGUGCAGUGCUGCGUCAUAGCAAUUACCAGGACGGAUUCUUGGGGAAACCACUCAACACCCUUUGAAUUUAUG